rnacentral:rRNA from 1 species
UACGUAGGGCGCAAGCGUUGUCCGGAAUUACUGGGCGUAAAGGGCGCGCAGGCGGUCCUUCAAGUCAGGCGUGAAAGCCCCGGGCUCAACCUGGGAAUAGCGCUUGAGACUGAGGGACUUGAGUUCGGGAGAGGAGAGCGGAAUUCCCAGUGUAGCGGUGAAAUGCGUAGAGAUCGGGAGGAACACCAGAGGCGAAGGCGGCGACCUGGACAAGUACUGACACUCAACUGCGAAAGCGUGGGGAACAAGCAGG